rnacentral:rRNA from 1 species
UACGGAGGGUGCGAGCGUUGUCCGGAAUCACUGGGCGUAAAGGGCGCGUAGGCGGCGCGGUUAGUCGGCGGUGAAAGCCCGAGGCUCAACUUCGGGUCGGCCGUCGAUACUGCUGCGCUGGAGCACUGUAGAGGCAGAUGGAAUUCCGGGUGUGGCGGUGGAAUGCGUAGAGAUCCGGAAGAACACCGGUGGCGAAGGCGGUCUGCUGGGCAGUUGCUGACGCUGAUGCGCGACAGCGUGGGGAGCAAACAGG